CUUCGCUCAGUCGUGCACACCACUCCACUGCGCACCUCUCCGCUUAGCCACAUGCACCACUCGCCCUCGCUUUCGACGUUUCAAAUACUUAGACAGCUGCUGUGGCCUAGGAAGCCUUGGAAGGACACUGCAUAUAUGAUGGAGGUUUUUGCAAGCUUCACAUCUCCUAUUCACGCCAUACUGAUCUUAGUAUAAAGCCUAGUGAUGUUGGAAGUGAACCUGAAUCGCUGUUAGAUGCUAGAGGAUCAUCUGGUGGUAGCAACUUGAAUAGCCAGUCUAAUAUUUAGAUCUAGUUUUUUAUAUUAUGGACUACUUUAGGUUAUCAUGGUUUCUGAAUUUAUAAAGUGUUGUAAAAACUUAGUUUCUUUUGGUUAUAUAUUGUUGUGCUCUACUUGUUGUCAACUUGGACUUCUGAAUUAGCUUUUAUUGUUGUUGAUCUUUUGUAGUUAUGUUACUUUCAUUACUAUCAAUCCAUUGUCCAUUAUUAUUAUGGUUGGAGUAAAAAUUUGGCUUUAGAUUGUGCACUCAA